rnacentral:antisense_RNA from 1 species
UUCUAUGGCGGGCGGUGCGCGGAGGCCGCAAGGCCUGCCGGUCCCUGAGUCCGGUCUGCAAACCGCGUACCGUCCGCCACCUUU